GUAGGUGAACCUGCGGAAGGAUCAUUACCGAGUAAGGGUCUUCCAGGCCCGACCUCCAACCCUUUGUUUAACCAACCUCGUUGCUUUGGCGGGCCCGCCCUAUGGGGCCGCCGGGGGCCUCACCGCCCCUGGCCCGUGCCCGCCGGUAGCCAUCUUAAAUUCUGAUAACUGUGCCGUCUGAGUAUAGAUAUAAAUCGUUAAAAACUUUCAACAACGCAUCUCUUGGUUCUGGCAUCGAUGAAGAACGCAG
rnacentral:misc_RNA from 1 species